rnacentral:lncRNA from 1 species
CGAUUUCAGCGGGAUUAAGUCCAGGAAAUGAACAAAUCUGACGAACCAGGGAGGCAGGUGAAGGGGUCACCAGGAUCUUUGGGCCUUACUGAGUACUCAGGUGAAAAGUUUAUAAUCGGGAAGCAAGUAAAGAACCUUUGAAGACUUGUAUAAUUGGAUACGUUGGCGCAGUUCUUCAGCUUUUCAAGAAGACAUUCCGACUCUCUUGCCUACGUGGCACAGGGGCCUGGGAGCCACCCUGCGAGGAAGACGCAGGCCAAGGUCUUGCCGGGCUACUUCUAGAGGGGAAGAUGUAAGGAGGAAGCUGCCUUAUACUUGGAUUCUGCAGCCUUUAUAUGGACCUGUGGAGCCUGUGUGGCCAGAAUGAGGGAGACAGAAAUUAGAACCCAAUGUAUAAUGUAUUCAGUGCCUGAAUUUCAGCCACAUCCCUAAGCUGCCAUCUCAGACAGAGGAACAGGGAGGGGGCUGGAAAGAGCAUCACCUGGAAGAAGUCAGAACGUGACUGUGGGCCAUGAGUGACCUUCAAAGGAAAGCUGGGUAUCUGUGGUCUUUAAGAUGAUGUGAUAAGAUUGUAUUAAAAUUAUAGAAAAACCUCAAUCCCAAAAUUGUGGUCUCUUGACAUUUACAUCUUAACUGGAUUUUCCUGCCAAAGAGCCAGGAGACACGUUACAAUCAUCCUCCGCGAGUGUUCUCUUUAUACCCUGUUUUCAUUCUUUUAGAUCCAUGGCAUUUAAGAACUGAAGCAAUGAAUAGAUUAUCUGAUCAGUCCCAUCAGGCGUUUUCCUAAUGCUAAAAUUG